UUCUUCGUACAAAAAUUUAUAAUUUUCGAUAUAAAUCGAGGAUGAAAUAUAUUUUAUUGAAUUGUAUUCGUGCAGAUUUUAAAGAAUGAUUUGUCUUUUCUUAUCAUUCAACUAAAUGAAACCAUGACAAUGGUAAAUGAUAGGAAAUAAUAGGGUUUAAAGUUUUAUCAAAUGACCCGGUAAUCAGAUAAGUCUAUUCCAUGAAUAUUAAAAUGAAAUGAGCACGGUCAUUACAGGUUAUUAUAAAAUGGAAUUGAUCCCACUUGCAAAUGAGUUGCAUUUCUUCUUUUGCUCCGAUCGAAAAUAUGGACGAAUAUUUACCUAUGGAAUGGCUUUCUUCAUUUUCACGGAAUUCAUAUUUAAACAUUUCAAGCAUUUCAAUUAUUAAAAUGAUAAGUUUGUUUGAGCAAUUAAACACUACAAUGGCAAUAAGCAAGGAUUUUCACUCUCAUCGUCUGAUCGUAAAUUAAGGCAUUUUCGUAGAGAAUGUAUUUCGUAACCUUGCCCCCCUUUGAACUAAUUGGGGCAACAAAUAUACAGGGCUAUGUGUCUCGCACGUGUGUGUAUGUAAAAAACAACGUUCAUUAUUUUACGUUUGUGUAAAAGAGAAGAAAAAGAAAAGGAGAGGAAAAAAGAAAUAAAAAAAAUUUCACGGAUGUGUUUA